rnacentral:rRNA from 1 species
CCCAGACUCCUACGGGAGGCAGCAGUGGGGGAUAUUGCACAAUGGGGGAAACCCUGAUGCAGCGACGCCGCGUGGGCGAAGAAGUAUUUCGGUAUGUAAAGCCCUAUCAGCAGGGAAGAAGAAGUGACGGUACCUGAGUAAGAAGCACCGGCUAACUACGUGCCAGCAGCCGCGGUAAUACGUAGGGGGCAAGCGUUAUCCGGAUUUACUGGGUGUAAAGGGAGCGUAGGCGGUGAUGCAAGUCAGAAGUGAAAGCCCGCAGCUCAACUGCGGGACUGCUUUUGAAACUGUAUGACUAGAUUGCAGGAGAGGUAAGUGGAAUUCCUAGUGUAGCGGUGAAAUGCGUAGAUAUUAGGAGGAACACCAGUGGCGAAGGCGGCUUACUGGACUGUAAAUGACGCUGAGGCUCGAAAGCGUGGGGAGCAAACAGGAUUAGAUACCCCUGUAUUA